CCCCGUGCGUGCGUGCGCACCGCCAUCCGCGGGGUUGACUGCGGCAGGUCCCGGGGCUGCGGCGGCGCUCCGGCGCGUGGGUCUGUUACCUCGUCGGCCGGCUCAAGAAAUCCCCCUCGUUGAGGCCCCUGCUCCCCUGUCAGUCCUCAUCGCCCGAGGAAUUAUGCACCACCUCCUCAUUUUCCCCAUCGGUCCCGGGAGCUCCGGGAAGGCGCCACCCAGAGUAGAGAGUGAUCGGACGCAUCCAACCACAGAGACCCUGGGCCUCCGGGAUUCUAGAGCGCCCGGCCUGAAGCCGCCACUGACUUCCGGCGGCUGAGCUUCCGGCGGCCGGGGCCUCUGCUCGGGUUUUCCCGGCCUCCGCCGUGGUCCCUCCGCUGGGUGGCUCCGUCGCAGGGCUCCCGCGCCGCGGGCUGCUGCCGAGCUCAGGGGGACAGCGGGCGGGGCGUCCGGCCUCUACCCCUGCGCGGGGUCCAGGUGCCCGCCCCGCUCCACGGCCCGGUGGCUGAUUGGUAGAGCCUUCCCUGAGAAGGCAGCGGCGACUUCGGGGCGGGGCCGUCCGAACCUUUGCGCGGAGGCAAGGUUUGCAGCGGGGAGCUCCAGGUGGUGCAGUGAGGAGCAGCCUUUUGGAGCAAAGGGGGUGGUGCCGCCACGUGAGAAGAAAGCUGGGGAGUCGAGGCGAAGCCCCUGGCAACUGCUAAUCAACUUUCUGACUCUGGACUUGCCAUUCUGGACCUUCCUUACAAAUGGAAUCUUACGAAGGGAUGAUCUCUGCCUGGAAGUGCCUUACACACAGGAGACCGGAGUGGCCAAUGUUUAAUCCAUGCAGCGCAGGCUUGUCAACUCCCAGACUUGGGGAUGGGGGAUCAGGAGGGGUAUGAGGGGGCUGCUGCCAGGGGCCCAGCACCAGGCCACAGGAUGUGACAGAGCUGAGCUCAGUGUGGCCGUGGGCACUCCCACAGGGGAGGGACGACCCCCAUGCCGGCCUGCACGCCAACUGUGGUUUUGGUGGAGGGGAGAGCGGGAGGCCUGCGGGAAGAGGCUGUCCCUGGCCUCAAAGGCCUGGGUGGGUGGGCUGACCUCACAGCCAGAGGGCUCCAUUGUGGUUUCUUGGCACCCCUCCUCACCCCUGCUUUCACCACUCAACCCACCCAGGCUGCCCGGGGACCUAGGUGGGGACAGUGGGGUGAGGGGAGAUGUCAUCAGCACUGUCACAGGCUCUGGGGUCCAACCGUGGGGGCUGCGAUCCUCUGUGGCCUCCGGGGAACCCAGCAGCUGGGCAAACACACUGGGGCUGACCUUGCCUAUUCUGGAACAUUCCCAAGGCCUGCCUGUGAUCACCCUGGGUGUGGGAUAGAGAAUUGUACCCGCCCUGUCCUCAGAAAGAUCCCAGACCUGGGAGGGAGACUGACCCAGGGACCAACCUCAUGGGAACUCGCCCCUCCUGACUCCCCCUCCCGCUGCUCUUCUGUUCUUCUCCAGAAUGUUGGCAUCUCAGGGUUCGGCACCUGUCCCCUCCUCACUCUGCUCCUCCCGAUCUCUGCGCUGACCGCUUUCAACCCUGCUCCAGCCGGGGUCUGUCUCCAAGCUCCAGAUCUAACAGCCAGUGCUCUGCAGAUGUCCCCCUGCCGAUGCCCCGCAAACCCUCCAAUUCCUGGGACUCAUACCAUGCUCACCAGCUCCCUAUCCUGAUGCUCCUCAGCUCACAGCCACCUCCAUCCAGGGCAGGCACCUGGGUGUCAUGUGACCCCCGCCCUCUCCCUCACACUUCUCCCCUCUCACCUAUUCCCCCACCAAUCUACCUCAUCCAACAGGUUACCCAAAUCCAAACUUUACUCAUUGACGCCAUGACACGGAGCACCUACUGUGUGCCAGAUACCAUUCCCAGUUCUGGGGCUUUGGCCAUGAGACAGACAUAAAUCUCUUCCUUUGAGGAGAGAGGAACUCUGAGGAACUCAGAUUUUAGCAGGAUAAAUUGACUCAAUUAUACAGUGUCUUAGAAGGUCAUAAGCAGGGCAGCCCGGGUGACUCAGGGGUUUAGCGCCACCUUCCGCUCAGGGCCUGAUCCUGGAGACCUGGGACAGAGUCCCAUGUCAGGCUCCCUGCAUGGAGCCUGCUUCUCCC